GUGGGGAAUCUUCCACAAUGGACGAAAGUCUGAUGGAGCAACGCCGCGUGAGUGAAGAAGGGUUUCGGCUCGUAAAGCUCUGUUGUCGGGGACGAAUGUGCAGUAUUUGAAUAAAGUAUUGCAAUGACGGUACCUGACGAGGAAGCCACGGCUAACUACGUGCCAGCAGCCGCGGUAAUACGUAGGUGGCAAGCGUUGUCCGGAAUUAUUGGGCGUAAAGGGAGCGCAGGCGGGAAGGUAAGUCGGUCUUAAAAGUGCGGGGCUCAACCCCGUGAUGGGAUCGAAACUAUCUUUCUUGAGUGCAGGAGAGGAAAGUGGAAUUCCUAGUGUAGCGGUGAAAUGCGUAGAUAUUAGGAGGAACACCAGUGGCGAAGGCGACUUUCUGGACUGUAACUGACGCUGAGGCUCGAAAGCCAGGGGAGCGAACGGGAUUAGAUACCCCUGUAGUCC
rnacentral:rRNA from 1 species